rnacentral:lncRNA from 1 species
UCAAGUUAAUUGUAUGUGAGAAGGUCUAAAUUUAAUGCGCUCUUAAAUUUCUCUCUUCCUUUUUGAGUUUCACUCACUAGCUCGAAGACUAUAACUCAAUAGACUCCAAAAGCUUCAAAAGACUUGCUUCUUCAUUGAAUCCUCUAUAUUUAUAGCCUCAAAAAUAUCUGCAAUUAAUGCUCUAUCUAUUGAAAGCUUGAAAAUAGCCGUUAAAAAUAUUUUAAAUAUAUUUUAAAAAUUUAAAAAAACUAGCUAUUAUUCUAUCAAAAAACUAUAAGUCUGCUCAUCCAAACUCUUAGUCGACUAACUUUCAACAUGGAGUUGAC